GGAAGAGUAUAGCUCUGGUAGAGUGCAUGCCUAGCAUGCACGAAGUCCUGGGUUCAAUCCCCAGUACUUCCA
rnacentral:tRNA from 1 species